rnacentral:rRNA from 1 species
UAUGGCGACCGGCGCACGGGUGAGUAACACGUAUCCAACCUGCCGAUGGCUCGGGGAUAGCCUUUCGAAAGAAAGAUUAAUACCCGAUGGCAUAGUUCUUCCGCAUGGUAGAACUAUUAAAGAAUUUCGGUCAUCGAUGGGGAUGCGUUCCAUUAGGUUGUUGGCGGGGUAACGGCCCACCAAGCCUUCGAUGGAUAGGGGUUCUGAGAGGAAGGUCCCCCACAUUGGAACUGAGACACGGUCCAA